AGAGUGGCUCUGAGCCAAGGAUGACUUGCCGUAUUAUUCAUCCAUCACUUAAAUUGCUGCUCUUAACUGUGCGUUGAUGAUGUUCCGGUGAGUUGUCCUUGCUCAGUUUCGCUCUCU
rnacentral:pre_miRNA from 1 species